rnacentral:rRNA from 1 species
UACGGGGGGAGCAAACGUUGUUCGGAAUUACUGGGCGUAAAGGGCGCGUAGGCGGUCCUGUAAGUGGUGUGUGAAAUCCGAUGGCUCAACCAUCGAGCUGCGCUCCAUACUGCAGGACUUGAGUACAGCAGAGGAAAGUGGAAUUCCCGGUGUAGCGGUGAAAUGCGUAGAUAUCAGGAGGAACACCGAUGGCGAAGGCAGCUCGCUGGGACGGUACUGACGCUGAGGCGCGAAAGCGUGGGGAGCAAACAGG